GCACAAGCGGUGGAUGAUGUGGAUUAAUUCGAUGACAACGCGAAGAACCUUACCUACCCUUGACAUGUCCGGAACUUGCCAGAGAUGGCUUGGUGCCCGAAAGGGAAUCGGAACACAGGUGCCGCAUGGCUGUCGUCAGCUCGUGUCGUGAGAUGUUGGGUUAAGUCCCCGCAACGAGCGCAACCCUUAUCAUUAGUUGCUACGCAAGGGCACUCUAAUGAGACUGCCGGUGACAAGCCGGAGGAAGGUGGGGAUGACGUCAAGUCCUCAUGGCCCUUAUAGGUGGGGCUACACACGUCAUACAAUGGCUGGUACAAAGGGUUGCCAACCCGCGAGGGGGAGCCAAUCCCAUAAAGCCAGUCGUAGUCCGGAUCGUAGUCUGCAACUCGACUACGUGAAGUCGGAAUCGCUAGUAAUCGUGGAUCAGAAUGUCACGGUGAAUACGUUCCCGGGUCUU
rnacentral:rRNA from 1 species